UUAUUGCCGGCAGCCUGACAGGCUGGGGGGCUUUUUGGUGUUAAAUUUGCCAUUAAAGGGAGCUUGAAAAAAAAAAAAAAAAACCAAAAAAGACUUCAGCUCUAGCUGGUGGGGUUUUAUGUGUGUAUUAAACGGAGCUGUGCUUGUCUAGGAAAUGUGAGGACUAUGUCAUCGUUUCAUCUCGGAGAGAGCGCUGUAAUAUUCAUGUUACACACAGUCUGGAGUUGGUUGAACGGCAGCUGAAGCUCUCUGGAAGAAAUAAAUCCAGACAGAAUUAGCAGACCCAGAGACAAUAAAGGCAAUAAAGUGUUAUUCGAGAAGGAGCCGGGAGCUCCGGAGAGCCAAGAGUCGAUCCCAUCAAAGAGCAGAUUUAGUUUUAGGCUGUCAGAAGCAGAAGUUACUGCUGAAGCCCCCACUCAAGAGUGCGUUUUUGGGGUCUUUAUGCCUAAAUCGCGCUGGGCCGGCAGCUCCCAGGGGCCAAAGGGGAGAUUUUCUUUCCCGUUUUCCAAGAUGUGAAGGAAUCCCAUCCCUUUCCUCCGUUCUUGCUGGAGACACCGGCUCCCGGAGCCCACGAGAGGGAGCAAAUUCCUCCUCAGCCAACUCCCCGCCAGCACCAGCUCCUUUUGGGGACAACCUGCACGAGUUUCACCCCCAAGGAGGGUGGCCCUGGAGCCCUGGGGUGUCCCCUGGGACUCGCCCGAGGAGAAGGUGCAGGUCCCGGGGGGCAGCAGUGGGGUGACCCCCAAGUCCUGCCCCACCAGCGGGAAGCCCUGGCUCCAGCCAGCGCUGCUCGAGGCUGUGUCCUGGCCGCUCUUUUCUUCUGAUUACCUUCUUCUGAUUAUUCUUCUGACAGUUAUUUGCUCCCUGCAACUUUUCCUGCUUUGUGGGUAGAGCUGGAAGUCUGGGUGCCAACUCAGGAAGGCAGCUCUUGGUGACCCCGGUGGUGGAGGAAGAGGAAGGAUAAGGUUUUAGUAGGAGAUAUUUUAAAACGGGGAAGAAAGGUUGGGUGAUUUCAUGGCAGUUGUGAGCUCUGGGUGUGGGGAGGCUGCGUGGAAGUCACACAGCCAUAAAGGGGGCUCUGAGCAGCCGCUACUGUGAAUAAAAGCAAUAUUUGGAGAUGAAUCUGAAGCCGAGGCAGAAAAAAAAAGGAGAUUUCUGCUUUCUGGCCAUAUCUUGCAUCGAAACAGUGCUUGCCUAACACAAGUGGAAUACUUUAUUUUCAAGCUUUGAAUGCGGCUCCCGUGUGCUUGAUAAAAUGUAGCCAUAAAAUUGCAAAUACAAGGCAAUUUGACUACUGAUGGCUAAUGCAUCAUAACGGCUAAGGAAAUGUGGGCAUUUAAAAAUACCCCAUUUAAACGUCGGGCAUUACCUCCGUUACUUGCGCUGUAGCAGAAUAAAUAAACAAUAUGUGUGUAUUAUGUUAAUAUUGUCCAAAGCCAAAAGAAUGAGUGCACAAUGUGUUACUUGCUUUUUAUGACUGAUCCAUUAUGGCCAGAGACCGAUGUGUGAAUGAGAAAAGAGGGAAAUCGGCAGCUCUUUUCCUUGGAGAAAUGGCUCCUUUUGUUUUAUGUCUCCAGGUGAAUUAUUUUCCGUGAUUGCAUCUAGCAGCAGGAACCUCUUCCCUCCCUGAGAAUGAUACGGGUCCCAGGACUCCCAAGAGCUCGUUCCAGACCAACCAGUGCAGGUGGAGUGGGGACAUCCAGCUCAAGGAAAACCACACCAGCAAACCCCAGAAUCUCUUUCAAAUUGUCUGAGAGUGGGAGGAAUAAAAGAGAGUGAAAGUUACGUGCCCCCCCAGCCUCGCUUUUCCUGGGCAAUCUCAGAAUUUAUUGAGACAACUCCUGUGGGAUGCUCCAUCACGUCAUCCAAGACUUGUGUUAUCGACUCUCUUUUCCUGCUGCUGCUGAGUGAAGAAAUAUGAGAGCAGGAGGGAUAAUGAAGCAGACAUGUUUUCUUCAAAUCAAACCGAUUCCCUCUUAAGACGGGAUAAAAGGGUAAAGAACUUUCCCUUCGCGAUAUUUUUCUCGGUAAUGUGUUUUGACAAUUUAAUUUAGAAGUCAUAGAGUAGCGAAGACAAAGUCACCCGGUGGGUGGACAUCGGAGAGUUCAGUUGCCUUUGUGAUGAAUUGGUGAUAGUACAGAGAUGACAAAACAACACAGGGGGACAAGGAGGAGGCUGGCAGCACUGUCGGCAACACGCACAGGAUAAAUUGAACACUACACUUCAUCCAGGAUCCUCAAUAGUCCCAGGCAUCCCGAUAUAAUUUAUGAAUUGCAAUUAGCAUUUUAUUAUGGCUCGUGCUGGGGCUGCGUACCUAUCGCUGGCGUUCGGGUUUUGCUAGAGUUGCAAAGCGAAGUUUUCCUAAGUUUAAAGUAUCUAUAUGUUUAAAUUAAAGCAAUAAAUACUCUCAGGAGGUUGUUUUCCUGUUUUUAAGCUGCA